GAACUCCUGUCUGAUUUCCGAGAGAUACAGAAAAGAGAAAGUGAGAGAGAGAGCAAGAGAAAAAAAAAUCCCCAUGAAUUUGUAAAUAAAAGCUAAUACAUUGUGUGUACUUCGAUGAAUGUGAGUAUGAAGUAGAAUGGAGGAAUCAAAUAUUUUCCCCUGCUUAUCAAAAAUUUUAGCAACAUACCAAACUUUUCAAACACGAAACUCUCAGAAGGAUUGUGGCCUUUGUAAGAAGAGGAUCUGUUAGGCUAUAUUUGAAACCAGUAAAAAUAACCCCAUAAGUAUAGCAGUGUAGGCCUUCAACCAGAAUCAGUUCUCUUGGGAGAUUAAUUUGCAUUGUAAUUUAAGAAAAAAAAGAAGGCCUUUCUAAGUCUUACAAAGUCACAUCUCUGACUCUCAUGGUAUGAAGAUUUGCAAACAGCUCCAUGGUUUUCUCUCUGUUUGGCGGCUUUCCUUUUUACAUGUGCCAGGCCACAUCUCAGACUUAUCCUGAUGGCUCCAACCAGACAUUCUGAUAUCAGGAGUAACUACCAUGAGAUGCUUGUUCUAGGUCCAUAGGCACUGCAUCUGUGUAAUACAAAUGGACCAAAACAGAAUGCUUAUACUCUCAGUACACACUGAAUAGGACUUGAAAAUCAAUCUGCAUGGAUUUGCCACCAACAAAAAGCAGCCUUGGUGGAGAAUGAUGACAUGGACUGGAAGGAGCACGCCAUUGAGUGAGCAAUCUGAACAUUGGAGCUGGUACAGUUUAUCUUAAAAAUUGAGCUAUCUCAACUAUUGCUCCUCUCUUUCUUCUCUUGGACCAGUGUCACCCUAUCAAUGCUCAUUUUUAAUAAGGAGUUUCCUAUAAAUCUACAGACACUGUAAAACCA